rnacentral:misc_RNA from 1 species
GUUUUCCAAUGAUCCCAAUGGCAUAUAUUCAUAAACCAACAACCUCUGAUCCCCCUCAGCACAAAAGCCAAUAAGUUUUACAAGGUUAGGAUGAUCAGCUAGACUUAAAGUCAAGACUUCGACAACAAACUCUCGAAUUCCUUGAAGUCCAUUGCGGUCAAGUUGUUUGAUUGCUACAACCUCAUUAACUUUCUGCAAGUACCCCUUGUAAACUUU